AUAAUUUAUAUUUCUUGAAUAAAUGAAAUUUAAAGCACAGCUGAAUAAAUAGCCGAUUACACUCUGUAUAUGCACCAAACAGAUAACACCUUGAUGACGGGUGAUUUAUUUUCAGCAUGAUAUAUAUAUUUAUACUGUCUUUGGGACAACACUUGAUAUACAGAUAGCCUUUGGGGCGUAUGUCAAGUGGUCACCCUUUGGGGGUAGCUCUGCACAUGUGUAUGACCAGUAUUUUAUUAGCUAUUGGGCCAAAUUUAUCAUUAUAGAGCCUAAGAUGCCAGCAUUGCUCUCAGGCUGUUAUUAUUUUAUUAUACCUGAGAUGCCAACAUUAUCUGCAGGGAACAUAUUAUGAGUGUAUCUAUUUUUCACAGUUAUUUUAUAUUGAUUGAAUUAAAUUGUAUUUAUUCAGCUGACUUAUUUUAGCUAAAUGUAUGGUACUAUUAAGUACCUAAGCCUUAUCUUUUCCCCUUUGUUAUUUAUUUAUCCGCUCACUGAGUAUGUUGUACUCACCCCUUAUAUUUCGUUUAAUAUUUCAGUUUCUUUUUGGUGAUCUGCUCAGCAGUCCUCAUCUCCUAGUUUAUCCUUCUUUCUACAUCGUCUACUCAGAGUCUAGAGGAGGUCGGACCAAUCCUAAGUCUUUUGUCUUUUCUUUUUGUAAUCUUGAUAGAUCAUGUAUAGAUUGUACAGUCCAGUGGAAACGGUAUUUUGUUGUUGUAACUAUUUUAUGAAUUGAUAGGUCCAACUAUCAGUUUUUCUCUUAUAUGUUUUAUAAUUUGGAAUUAUAGCAGGUUACAUGUUUUUAUAAGUAUAAUUAUCAGGGGAAGUUCUGUCAGUUUUCCGGGUCAUAUCAGUCUCUACAGUUUGGGGAUUGGGUGUGACAGAUAGAGAUAAGAUAGGAGUAGUAGUGUUUAUUUUAAAUUAUUAAAUUCUAUCUUUUUGUGCCUAUAUAAAACUCCUAGCUAGAUCAUCAUAUUUUCUCCUCUCUUCUUUCUCCGUUCUUACUGCCGCCCUCUCUCUUCUUCUUCAUCUUCUUCUUUUAUUUUUCUUCUUUUUUUUCUUUUUUUUUUUCUUUAACUUUUGCAAUUUUAUUAUGACCUUUAGAGGUUAAACAAUUAUUUUCAGUUGAAAGUUAAUUUCUGAAUUCGAAGAACACUACUUCAAUUGUCGUUUUCUUGAGAAUUUAAGGAACUCAUUGAAUCUCUUCGAAAGACAACAUAUUACUAAUUAAUCUAAUUAGAUCUGUAAUUGUUUAAUUAAAUUAAUAACCAGUAGCAGUUAACAUAUUAAUUUAUAUUAAGAAAUUGGUAGAUUUGAUUUAAAUAAAACAUGUCUUUUUAUGUUAAGAAAUAUUGUUAUGGAUUUGACUUCAAAUGAUAAAGGUGAUGGAUUUGAAUUCAAAUGAUAAAGGUAAUUAGGGACAAUAAAUUUAAAAAAAUGUUUAAAUUACUAACAAACUCUAAAUCGCUUAGUAAUAUAUUCAAAAAAUUACUAUUUAAAACUUGAUAACUAAAUUUUAACAUUAAAUUAGUAAGUAAAAAAUAUGUUGAAUUUAUCAACGGAUGCCAUCCGUUAGUAAAUUUAAUAUGAAAUCCCGCGUAAAAUUCACGUAUUAUUUUUUAAAUUCACAUUUGUUCAGUUACCAACGGAUUUACUAAUGGAUUUGUUGGCAAUUCUUAGAGAGAAAAAAAUCUCACUUUUUUUUUUCAAAAUUUAAUAAGGGAUUGUGAAUCUGUUACUAAAUCGGUUAAUAAUUCACCUUUAUAAAUAUAAUACCAUAUUCUCUUUUUUAUCAUUUAUUCAUUUUAUCAUUUUUUUUUUCCAUUUUCUCUUCCUUUCUCUCAUUUUCUUUCUUUCUCUGUUACUUCCUUUUUAUUUCACUUUCUUAUUUCAUAAUUUUUUUCUCACAUUUUUUUCUAUUAUUUUCCUUUCAUCUCUUAUAGUUUUUUCUCUCAUUCUCUUUCCUCUUCUAUUAUUUUCUUUAUUUUUUCUCCAUAAUUUUCCUUUCACUUUCUCCAUUUUAUUUUCCAUCAUUUUCUUCCCUUUUCUCUCAUUUUCUUCAUUUUCUCUAUAAUUCAUUCAUAUUAGUUUCUCUCAUAUUUUUUUUUCUAUCAUCUAUCUACAUUUUUUCUAUUAUUUUCUCCUCAUUUAUUAUUUUUUAUAAUAAUUCAUUCCCUUUUUCUCUCAUUUCUCUAAUCAUCUUUUUACUUUACUUUCAUUCUUCCUUCUUUUUCAUAAUUUUUAAUUUUCUAUCAUUUUCUUUCUUUUCCUCUUUUUUCUUUUUUUUUAUCAUUUUCUCUCAUUUUAUAUAAUUUAUUUUUAUCUUAUUUCUAUGUUCUAUGUAUUUCUAAUAAAUAUUGGACACAAAUUAAAAACUUAAUAAUAAUAAUAAUAUAAUUUUGAAUUUUAUUAAAUUAAUAAAAAAUAAUAUUAAUAAUAAAAUUUAUUAUUUAAUCAAAUUAAGAAUUACUUUUAAAUUAUUUAAAUUUCUAAUGGAUUUACUAAUGGAUUUACCAAUGAAUGUUAGUAAAUUAUUUUUCUCUCAAUUUACUAACGGAUUUAAAAUCCGUUAGUAAUGGUACCGGAAACUCCGUUAGUAAAUCAAUUAGAAUUACUAACAGACUUGAAAGUCGUCGGUAAAAAUUUACUAACAAACUUUUUAACAACAGAUUAUCAGUUAUCAAUUUUAUCAAUGGAUUUUUAUUGGAUUGUCAACGAAAAAAUCCGUUGAUAAUCCGAAAGCUUCUUAUAGUGGUUGGACGAAUAUAGUAAAAGAUGCAUCAUAAGCUUGCUGUUUGUAGGCAACAAUUGGAUGUGUGGGGCCAGAAUUACAGGAACAAAGAGAUUGAAGAUUGUAGAACAUAGAUUCGUCGAUUGAGGGGUCCAAGAAUAUUGAAUGAUCCAUGAAAAUUCAUGCAUUAUGAAAACAAGUUGGCUGAACUUUUUGAACAGCGGGAGCAUUUCUGGAAACAACGGGCAAAGGAAGCUUGGUUAAGGGACGAUAAUUGUAUUACCCAGUUUUUCCAUGCGAAAGCCACUGCUAAGAAGAAAAGAAAUAAAAUAGAGCAGCUCAAAGACAGAAUAGAAUACAUUUAUAUAGUAUAUACCAGGUCUAUCAACAGUUAGCUAAUGGUUGAGUUGGAUAUAGAUUGUAUGAAUAACAAAUAUUAUCUCAAUCAACUCUAAACCUUAUCAUAACUCUAAACCUUAUCACAACUCUAACCUUAUCAUGAUUCUAAACCUUAUCACAACUCUAAGCCUUAUCACGCCCCCUCAAUUCGUGCGUUGUAGGGACAGGACAAAUUGUUAAAUGUUGCAUUAGAGUUUGAUGCCGCAUUUUGGAUAAUGGUUUAGUCAGAAUGUCAGCUAAUUAAUCUUUAGAGCAAAUAAAUUGUACUUUUACUUCAUUCUUUUGCACUUUAUCACGAACAAAAUGAAAAUCGACUUUCAAGUGCUUCAUCCGAGCAUGGAAAACAUGAUUGAUAGAAAGAUAUGUUGUGCCAAUAUUAUCACACCACAAGUUGGGAGUUUUGGUGGAAUGGAAAGUAAUGUCACGCAACAUUGAUUGAAUCCAAGUUAAUUCAGUGACAGCAAGACCAAUAGCUCGAUAUUCAGCCUCUGUUGAUAAACAAGCAACUGUUUGUUGUUUCUUGGAAUUCCAAGAUAUGAGAUUUGUGCCCAUGAAAAUAGCAUAACCUGUGGUAGACUUGCGAUCAUCAAUGUCACUCGCCCAAUCAGCAUCAGUAUAUAUAUUCAAAUCUGUGUUUGCCGAUUUGGAGAUGUAAAGACCAUGACCAACAGUGUGCUUGAGAUACCUCAAUAUACGCUUUACCAAACACCAAUUAUCCUCAGUAGGUGCAUGAAGAAACUGAGAAACCUUGUGAACUGAAUAACAGACCUCGAGUCGGGUUAAACUCAAGUAUUGCAAUCCACCUACUAUACUCCGAUAUAACGUGGGAUCACUCAUUGGGCGGCUUUGUAUAGUAGACUUCUUAUCUUUUGGAGUUGCUGGUGUGGAGAUUCCCUUGUAGUCUCCCAUUUGAGUUUUUUGAAGCAAGUCAAAUAUAUACUUUUGUUGAGUUAAUAAAAGUCAAUCAGCGGUCCAAGUUGCCUCCAUACCAAGGAAAUAUUCCAAUGUGCCCAAAUCUUUCAACAUGAACUCAGAUUUGAGAGAGGAAAUAAUAUGAUUCAAAGUAUGACUGCAUGUACCGGUCAUGAUAAUAUCGUCCACAUACACAAGGAUAAACAACUUGAUAUUGUUCUUGACAUAGCAAAAUAGAGAGGAAUCUGCAGGAGAGACUCAAAACCCUUGAUUGAUUAAGGCUGAGAAUAGACAUUUAUACCACUGACGUGGAGCUUGACGAAGACCGUAUAGUAAACGGCGUAGACAACAAACAUGAUCUGGUUUAGAUGUAACAGUGAAACCUGGAGGCUGCUCCAUGUCAACUUCAUCAUCCAAAUCUCUAUGCAGAAAAGCAUUAGAAACAUCUAAUUGCUUCACUAACCAACCAUUUGAGACGACUAAGGACAAAAUUAUUUGAAUAGUAGUUGGUUUGACAACCGGUGAAAAGGUUUCAAAGUAAUCAAUGCCAGGACGUUGAUGAUAUCCUUUAGCAACAAGGCGAGCCUUAUAUCUAUCAAUACUGCUAUCAGAUUUCUGUUUAACUCUGAACACCCAUUUACAACCAACUAUAUUCUGUGCCUUGUCCCGAGGGACGAAUUUCCAAGUUCCGGCUUGAAUUAAAGCAUUAAGCUCUUGAAUCAUUGCAUCACGCCAAUUUGGAUCUUUGACAGCUUGAGUAUAGCAACUAGGUACUGAGAAAGAAGCAGUCACAUUAUUUAACUUUGGAGACCAUGGAGUUUGCAAUUUGAGCUUGCCCGUUUGCUGUCUAGUCACCAUGGAAUGUGUCUUAAUUUGCAAAGGAACAUGACGAAAAUUGAUCAGCUCGAUUUGGUUGGUAUUUAGUGAUACGGUGCGCUUAGGUGAUGGGCUUGCUAUGUGGGUCUGACUUGUGUCAGUUGUGGUAUUGUGUUGGGUAAGGGCUGGAGUAAUGGAAGCAGCAUCAUUUUGAUGUCUAAGAGAGGUUUGUAAGUUGCGUUUUGGAGCUGCUCCUAGGAUACCAGCUUGUGUAUUUGACAAAGGUGGAAUGGUGGUAAUGGAAUGGACGUAGGACUCACUUCAGCCACUGAGGUAGUGCCAUUAUCAUCCAACUUCUUAAAAGGAAACUCCUGCUAAAAAAAAAAGACAUGGCGUGAGAUAAAAAGACGACCAGAAGAAAUUUCAAGGCAAGUAUACCCUUUAUGAAGUUUACUAUAGCCAAGAAAAAUACAACGAGAAGACUUAAGAGCAAGUUUGUGAGAUGAAUAAGGUUUCAACCAAGGAUAACACAAUGAACCAAACACACGCAAUUUAUCAUAAGUAGAUUUCUCAUGAAAUAAAAUUUCAUAGGGAGUGCGUUUGUUAUUAGAUGAAGAGGGCAAUCUAUUUAUUGUGUAGGUAGCAGUAUUGAAGGCAUAGGUCCAGUCUCAACAAUAUGCCUAUGCUUUCGUUCUGCACAUUCAUUUUGUUCAGGAGUGCGAGGACAAGAAACCCUUUGUGAAAUCACAUGUUGUUUCAAGUAAUUGGACAAAGACCGAAAUUCUCCCCCCCAAUCCGAUUGAAAGUUUUUGGUAGGCAAUCCAAAAUAUUUUUCCACUAAACACCGAAACUGAACAAAGACAGAGAAGACAUCAGAUUUUUGUCUAAGAAAAUAUAACCAGCAAUACUUACUAAAAUGAUCAUAAAAAAUCACAUAAUAGCGAAAACCAUCAACAGAAACAACAGGGGCAGGACCCCAAACGUCAGAACAAAUGAGUUCAAGAGGCUGUUUAGCACGAUAAAGAGAAUCAACAAAUGGUAAUUUAUGUGAUUUACUCACAUUGCAAGCAUGACAAUGAUGAAAUUUAUUACUAGAAAGAAAAGAAAUACUAUUAGAUCUAAGAACAUCAUCAACAACUCGAAAAUUUGCAUGUCCUAGCCGCUCAUGCCAUAAUGAAACUGUUGCUGGGAAAGCUUUUGGAGAGAAUGACCGAACUUGUUGCGAAGGAAAAAGAUAAAGGCCAUUGUCACUCGGGCCUUGGUAUAAUACCUGCUUCGUGGGGAUAUCCUUCACAAAAUAUUUAUCAGGGAAAAAUUCAAUUGAAAUGAUAUUUUGUGAGGUAAAAGCAGAAACUGACAUUAAAUUGUUAGUGAUAGCAGGUGAAUAAAGAAUAUCAUUCAAACGAAAAUUAUGACCAUUAAUAGAAGUAAUUGAAGAACCACGAGAUAAGACAAAAAGUGUUUUACCAUCGGCAAUUGUGAGAGCGGGGGCAUCAUUGACAGGAAUAGGAUGAGCUAUAGUUUCCUGAUUAGCUGCUAGAUGAUAAUUUUCACCGGAGUCUACAGUCUAAGAUUGAAGAGGUUCAGUUUGAGUUUUGGCUACAUUGGCUUGAUGAUUGGUGCGAGGUAAGGGACAUUGUCUUUAAACAUGUCCUAUUCCAUUGUAAUUAAAACAUGUUAAAGUAGAAGUGCCACGACUAGAAGCAUAACUAGACUGCCCAGAACCGCGUCCUUGAUAUGAUAACUGUCCACCACCCCCACGGUAACCACGGCCACGCCCUCUACUACCUCGCCCAGAAUUUGCAUAGUGAGCAGUAGCAGGAACGACAUAAUUAAGAGUGAGAGAAUCAAACUUCAAUUGGGAUUCUUCACUGAGUAGUAAUGCAUACAACUCAUCAAAAGUAAUCUGAGUAUUUCGUGCUUCUAUAGCACGCGUAAAAGGACGAUAAUCUGAACCCAAUCCUUCCAAAACCUCGCACAUAAGAUUUUCCUCUGUAACAGAUCCUUCUAACACACAAAGCUGAUCAUAAUACGAUUUCGCUUUGCGCAUGUAAUUGUCAAUCGAAUCAUUACCUCGCUACAGAUGCUUGAGUUGAUUACGCAGCUGCUGAAUCCGCGUUUUAGCACCGGCGGAAUAGAUUAUAGUGAGGUUGUCCCAGGCAUCCUUGGCAGUGGUGCAACGAGUGAUCUGAUGAAGAAUAGAUUCAGAAACGAAACAAUUGAUCCAGCUACGAACGAUCUGAUCGUGACAGAACCAAUCCAUAAAUGCAGGAUUUGGUUCGCCAGUGGAUAAAAAUUGAUCUUAUAAGGCCCAGGCCCAGGCCCAUAAAAAAAAAAAAAAGAGGAGAGAGCAUUAAAGCUCUGGUUUCGGGAAUGUCCCGAAACAUUCCCGAAACCCAUCCGUCUCCCUCCUCCAAAAACAGAGCUUGCUCUUUUAGUUUAAAAAAAAAAAUUCCUUCUCUUUACUUCAAAUCUCCUUCCUCUCAACCCAAUCAACCCAUAAACUUUUGAAAUCCUCAGCUAGAUCCUAUUUUAAACCUAUAUCCUGCUCAGAAAUUCAAUAUUUUCUUCUAGAGGUUCCAAAAUUGGGUAGGUGAGUUUUAUCCCUUUUAUUCAAUUUAUUGCGAUAUAGUUUAUUUUCUCUACUUUUUAAUAGUGAUUUUUGUGAUUUGAGGAUAAAAAUGGGUUAUGUUUUAGUUAGCUCCAAUCAAUGGGGUUUUAUAUUUCUUUUUGGGAUUAAUGAUUUUCUUAGGUUGAUCUAAAUAAUAUUUAUAGGUUAUUGAGUAUUUUUGUUGAGGUUGUUCAUUUUUGGAGGUUUAACUAUGCCGAAAUACUGCCCAAAUUUUCUUAAAAAUAUAUAUAUAAAAAUAUAUUUAAAAUUUCGUAUUUUACAUUUUAUAUUAUUAUCCUAGUAUAUUUAUUUAUUAUUUGAUAUAUUAUUUUCUUUUUAAUUCUAGGAGAGGAUCCAGCUUUUGGGAUAGGUAAUAGGAGUGCUCCUGCGACCUAGGUUAUUCUAUCCUCAGUACUGGUGAGUGGAUAAAUAUAUAACAUUGAUAUUUUUCUUAAAUAUAUGUAUAUGUGUAUAGUUACUUUGUUUAUUUAAAAUGGGAAAGGAUAAAGUUAAUUUAUAUUUCUUAACUAAAUGGAAAUUGAAUUCAAAGCACAGCUGAAUAAAUAGCCGAUUACACUCUGUAUAUGCACCGAACAGAUAACACCUUGAUGACAGGUGAUUUAUUUUCAGCAUGAUAUAUAUUUAUAUUGUCUUUGGGACAGCGCUUGAUAUACAGAUAGCCUUUGGGGCGUAUGUCAGGUGGUCACCCUUUGGGGGUAGCUCUGCACAUGUGUAUGACCAG
rnacentral:lncRNA from 1 species